rnacentral:rRNA from 1 species
UACGUAGGGGGCUAGCGUUGUCCGGAAUCAUUGGCGUAAAGAGCGCGUAGGCGGCCAGAUAAGUCCGGUGUGAAAGUCACAGGCUCAACCUGUGAAUGCCGCUGGAAACUGUCUGGCUAGAGUCCGGGGAGGGGCGAGUGGAAGUUCCUGGUGGUAGCGGUGAAAUGCGCAGAUAUCAGGAGGAACACCGGUGGCGAAGGCGGAUCUCUGGGCCUUACCUGACGCUCGAGGUGCGAAAGCUAGGGAGCGAACAGG